CCCAUCUGUGCUACUAUAACCACAUGGUCCAUCCCUUGCUUCAAUCAUAGAAUUCUUUCUUCAGAUCAAAGUAUAUUCAGACACCCGAUACAGUAACAAAAGCAAGCUAUCCUGGAAGGAAGAAGGAAUCAGGAGGCAGAGCACAUGGUUAAAGCAUGAGAUGUGAAACCAGGAAGAACCAGGUCUGAAUCUUAGCUCCACCAGUGGUAGCUCCAAACCUUAGUCCUUUCUGAGCCUGCUUCUUCAACCCUAAGAGCAAGACCAAAAGCAGCUUCAAUUAUGGUACAACUGUGUGAAGACACAAUGCAAAACCACUCAAGAAUGCUCACUCAAAUGGAUCUUUUACGAUGGAAUUCGGAAACGGGACCCAGAAAGUUGUUUCCUGCAAGUGGCUGGAACAACACAAGCAAUAAGUAUCCUGAAACAGGCCCUGUUCCAACAAACUGACCCAGAAAGGUCUGGUUAGGACAGGACCCUCACUAUACACUAAUACAUUUAAACUAAAAGGAUAUUAUGAAUUAUGUAGACAUAUCAAGCUGAGAGGAAAGGAAAUCCUAUCAUCUUGCAGGCUUCCUAAUGAUCUUACUUAAAACUGAGUUACUGCAACAAUAA
rnacentral:antisense_RNA from 1 species